rnacentral:lncRNA from 1 species
GAGGAGGAACACUGACGCUAAAUUCUUUUGUUUGGCAAGUGCCGCUUGGAAAAAUAUUUAUUGAACUGUAAAACACAGGCUAAAUGGGGGGAAAAGGUAACCAUCUAAAGAGAUAGGAAAUAACUCACAUUACUAUACAUGGGAUCCAAGCCUAGCCAUUUCAUCUGAUUUUGGCUUUAAAAUUACUUUCAUUUAUUGCCUGGGGGAGAAAAAGCUACUUUUAAGAGUCAUAGGACAGUGAUGGGAAAAAUAUUUUUUCACUUCAGUUCUCUGAUUUCUAAAGGGAAGCUAAAAGUCAUGAAGGGAUUGGAAAGGGCAUGUUUUAAACUGGGAAGUGGCCGUCAAUUUGUUGUUUUUUGGUCGCGGGUUACAACAUUGUUGGACCCUGAGAGCAAAACAGCGGAAUGUGCCAAAGGCGCUUUGUGUGUGCAAAGUGCAGCUCACCCUGCCAGCGCUCUCCUGUCGGCGAUGCUUUUCACAUGGAAAUGCAGCUCGGGUGGGCCGAGCCCCUUGGAUUUGGGAAGCUGGGUGAUUUUUGUGCUCACAGCCGGCCAGAGAAGGGAGGACUGGCAUCCGCCAGACCCGUUAGCACGCUGCUGCCAGCGUUUAUUCUUUGGUCAUUGUUGUCGAAUGAUCCUGAUUUGUAAUCUCUUUUUCUGCCUGAGAUCCUCUUUUCUUUUUCAGGACUGGUUUGCAUGGCAGCCAGGCAGACGGCACCAUCACCUGUGACUGCAGCCGAAGUCGGCCUCGCUGCCCCCUGAUAAACGUGCCUGGGAAGUGACACAGGGAUUAUCAGCAGGCCCAGCAGCAAAGGUGAUUUUCAAGAGCAGGAAGGAUUGCUGUAAACUGAUCUUGAAUUGCAUCUUCAUAUUUUGUGGUGGAGCACAGAGCUGGUGGACUGGAAGACAUCAGGCUCCAACGUGGCGCAGGCUCUGGAGACAAGGAGAGAAUGUGUGUCUCCCACAGGAUCAGGCAGGAGAAGGCUGGGGAGCCAGGCACCAGCAGGGGCUCGCGGCCAGCAGGCCGCCCCCAUUCACUCAUUCUUCCCAGAAAUGGGCACAAAGUGCAGGUUCAUUCAGAUGCCUUGGCAGACGAUUCCUGGCCCCAAAGUUAUACAAACCAGUCUGUGCUGACUGACACCAAAGCUGCAUCUAUUGGAUUUGUUCUCACAGUGUAACCUGUCUGGACGGAACCAGACUUUGUUGGAGGAAUAAUUAGGGUUGACAGGAAAUUAUCCUGAGAACAACAGGGAGCUGGAAUUUAACUUUGUACACUUUUCCAGCCCUCACAUACAUCCUGAAGACAUUUAAUGAUUUUAAAUUGGGAAGAGCUGGAAAGCUUGUGUGCUGGAAGAUAUUAAAUCUAUCGUCAGCAGCAUAUUUUACACUCAGAUUUUGUGUCCUGUGUUGACACGAGAGCUGGCUUUGCAGAUGAUCUCAGAUGGUUGCUCCGAGGACAAGGUUGUGGAAAGAGGAGGGGAUUUGUCACAAUAAUAGCCACUGUGUAUGAUCACUGUGUGCGCCCAUGUUCCUCACCAGUGUUGUCUUAUUUAAUCCUCACCAAAACCUAUGAAGUAGGAGCUAUUAUUAGCCUCAUGUUAGAGAAAACGGAAAUGAAAUGUAGCGAGGUGAGGUAACUCGGGCAAAGUCACAGAGCUGGUGAAGGGCAGAAUGGAGCUUUGGACUCCAGCCCUGUUUGUCCACUGGCCACACAGCCUCCUCCGUGACCUGGCAGUUCUGCCCGUGAGUGCCACGCAGCCGUCGCGCUCAGUUCCCUGUCUUUGAAAUGCAGAUUGCGGUGCCCACAGAGAGGCUGCUGCUGCAUAGGAGUUGGGUGCCAUGGCCCCAUCGAGAUGCCAUCUGCGGGAGCCAGUCACGGCAGAGUUGCCAGGCAAAUCUUUAAAACACGGUGUUCUUAGCGAUGUGACCUUCAGCGCUAAGGGCUCUUGGCCGUUACACAAGUCCAGGCCAGGGGCAGGGGCGGAGCCUCGCCAGACCUGGGCUGACCCUCACAGUGCCUCUGUGGCAGGCGGAACUGUGGCCUCCGCUGAGGUCCUCAGGACUGAGGACAGAGCCGAGGGUGUCUCACGUGACAGUGUCCUGGGCUGUCCGAGUGGAGAGGCCGGAGGGGCAGAGUCAGC